CAAUGGCGCACAAUGAGAGUAUUUUUGCGUACCUCUUCCCCGACUUUUAUUGCAAAAUUUCAGUCUAUGGUUCCCCUACUGUUUUCUUUUCUACGUCCCCGGACGACAUAUUGAGUAUUUGGAACUACGCUGUGGAUUUGUGCUGGUAUUUUGGCUGUUUGAAGGCGAGAAAUUGCACUUUCUAGCUCGAUAUGUGAUUCUGAGGAAGACAACCCAGUGGAUGGCUACUCACUGCUGCGUGAUGGUGUAGUGAGCAGUGGUAAGGAAAGAGACAAGGUGGUGGCUAGGUGGGUGCAUUAAAUGAGGACUCCUGUCUGAACCUGACAAGACUGGAUUGGACCAGACCAGACCAGGUGAUUUGAUGACUCAAGAGGAAUAUCAGUUAGGUGUCUGCUGACUGCUGCAGUAGUGAAGACUCCUAUCUGAACCUGACAAGACUGGAUUGGACCAGACCAGACCAAAGCAGCUGAUUUGAAGACUGAAGAGAAGACAGUUAUGAG